rnacentral:rRNA from 1 species
UGGGGAAUCUUGCGCAAUGGUCUAACGACUGACGCAGCGACGCCGCGUGCGGGAGGAAGGUCUUCGGAUCGUAAACCGCUGUCAGGAGGGACGAAUGGCCCGAGGAGGCAAUGCCUCGGGUUUGACGGUACCUCCAGAGGAAGCACCGGCUAACUCCGUGCCAGCAGCCGCGGUAAUACGGAGGGUGCAAGCGUUGUUCGGAAUUAUUGGGCGUAAAGCGCGCGCAGGCGGUGGAAUCAGUCCAUGGGUGAAAUGCCGGAGCUCAACUCCGUGCCCGCCCAGGAUACUGUUUCACUGGAGACAUGUAGAGGCGAGCGGAAUUCCGGGUGUAGCGGUGGAAUGCGUAGAGAUCCGGAAGAACACCGGAGGCGAAGGCGGCUCGCUGGGCAUGGUCUGACGCUGAGGCGCGAAGGCGUGGGGAGCGAACAGG